CUCCAAGUAAAUAGUGAAAGGUGAGUGGAAAUUGCCAACUACUAAAAAGGUUGGGGAAAAAAGUGUUUGGAAAAUGACAAUAUUAGCAAUAUGACUAAAAACAUUUGAAAAGUUACUAACUAUAUUUCAAGAAGCAAAUAUCUGAAUUACAGCCAAUAAAAAUGAGAGAAAGGAGAUAUUUUUACUCCCUUUAAACAAAUUAUAAAAACCAAAA